AAUGAACGCUGGCGGCGCGCCUAAUACAUGCAAGUCGAGCGAGAAGACGUAGCAAUACGUUUGUAAAGCGGCGAACGGGUGAGGAAUACAUGGGUAACCUACCCUCGAGUGGGGAAUAACUAGCCGAAAGGUUAGCUAAUACCGCGUACGCUCCUUGGACUUCGGUUCAGGGAGGAAAGCGAUACCGUGGGUAUCGCGCUCUUGGUUGGGCUCAUGUCCUAUCAGCUUGUUGGUGAGGUAACGGCUCACCAAGGCUUCGACGGGUAGCUGGUCUGAGAGGACGAUCAGCCACACUGGCACUGCGACACGGGCCAGACUCCUACGGGAGGCAGCAGUAAGGAAUAUUGCGCAAUGGGCGAAAGCCUGACGCAGCGACGCCGCGCGGGGGAUGAAGGU
rnacentral:rRNA from 1 species